AUGUCUUAACUUGAGGAGGACAAUAAGCAACAAGUGACAUUAAACAACAGGCUCAAAUGGAGACUUAUGUUGCUGAACCAACAAAAGAAGGUAAAGAUCUGCACACUCCUCUCCAAGCUAUAGCUCAUGUUCUGCCGAAAUCAACGUUUCUUCGCAAUGUCGGCCUACAGUCCACAGAGAUGUGCUGCUACUGCCGUGGGUGUUGUGCUGUUACUACAGUUGUGUUGCUGCUGCACUUAUGUUCCAGCAAGUUGAAAUUUGAGACUUAUCUGAUGUGUAAUGAAUUGGUGGAUGGAUGUAAUGGUAUUGAAUUUGAAUCUGAUUUGGUA